GGGUUUGUGGCUCAGAGGUAGAGCACUCGCCCAGCAUGCCUGAGGCACUGGGUUCAAUCCCCAGCACCUCCU
rfam:Ictidomys tridecemlineatus contig073311, whole genome shotgun sequence.